rnacentral:rRNA from 1 species
AGGCAGCAGUGGGGGAAUAUUGCACAAUGGGCGCAAGCCUGAUGCAGCCAUGCCGCGUGUGUGAAGAAGGCCUUCGGGUUGUAAAGCACUUUCAGUCGUGAGGAAGGUAGUGUAGUUAAUAGCUGCAUUACUUGACGUUAGCGACAGAAGAAGCACCGGCUAACUCCGUGCCAGCAGCCGCGGUAAUACGGAGGGUGCGAGCGUUAAUCGGAAUUACUGGGCGUAAAGCGCAUGCAGGUGGUUUGUUAAGUCAGAUGUGAAAGCCCGGGGCUCAACCUCGGAAUAGCAUUUGAAACUGGCAGACUAGAGUACUGUAGAGGGGGGUUAGAAUUUCAGGUGUANCGGUGAAAUAGCGUAGAGAUCUGAAGGAAUACCGGUGGCGAAGGCGGCCCCCUCGGACAGAUACUGACACUCAGAUGCGAAAGCGUGGGGAGCAAACAGGAUUAGAUACCCUGGUAG